rnacentral:tRNA from 1 species
AGAAAGAGUAAAGAAGUAAAAUACAUUUAAUUUCGACUUAAAAUUCAGAGAAAUAUCUUCAUACUC